GACAGAGGUGCCAAGCGUUAGGCGGAAUCACUGGGCUUAAAGCGUGUGUAGGUGGAUUUAUAAGUACCUUGUGAAAUCCCAUGGCUCAACCAUGGAACUGCUCGGUAUACUGUGAAUCUUGAGCCACUUAGGGGCUACCGGAACAAAUGGUGGAGCGGUGAAAUGCGUAGAUAUCAUUUGGAACGCCAAUGGUGAAAACAGGUAGCUGGGAGUGUGCUGACACUGAGACACGAAAGCCAGGGGAGCGAACGGG
rnacentral:rRNA from 1 species